GGGAAGUAAAAGUCGUAACAAGGUUUCCGUAGGUGAACCUGCGGAAGGAUCAUUGACACACCGAUCGAGCAAACCUAGCGAACUGUGAUUGUCCAACGAGGGGCCGCACCCGGAGGUGCGGCUGUCUGUGCGUCUCCCCCUCGUGCGGGUGGCGCUCGUCGGAUGCGUCGCGGGUGGCGCGCACUCCUAUCCGUCGGGGACGCCUGACCGAUGGGAUUGCCGCUCGUCGGCGCUCCCCUCCUCCGGCCAAGGUGGCCUCGCCACCUUCCCGGGGCCCGAUUGUCCCUCCGCCCCGCUUGGCCGGGAUGGGUCGGACGGGACCGUGAGCACCGAGUAUGGAAAAUGUUGGAUGGCUGAGCCUUCUCGGGCGUCCCCCAAUCCGCUUCUCAUCACCGUGAGACGCGCGAGGAAAGGGGCCCCGACGAGUUUAUGUAAAACAACUCUCAGCAACGGAUAUCUUGGCUCUUGCAACGAUGAAGAACGCAGCGAAAUGCGAUACGUAAUGUGAAUUGCAGAAUUCCGUGAAUCAUCGAGUUUUUGAACGCAAGUUGCGCCCGAGGCUUGUUCCGAGGGCAUGUCUGCCUGAGCGUCAACGACCCCCUCACCCUCGCCCCAUUCGUGGGAAUCGAGGCGUGCAACUGGCCGUCCCCGGCUCGCGCCGCGGUCGGCCGAAAUGCAAGCGCCCGCGCGACUGGCUCCUCCGGCGCCGCGGCAAGGUGGUCCGUCCUCCUAGGUCGGAAUCGUCCCGUGGCCGGAGCCGCGCGCGUGGCAAGAAAAUGAUGCAGCAGCUGGGCGCGAGGUAGGGCUUCGGGGACUCGUUCUCGAUCCCGCCGCGCUCCCUCGGUUGGACCUCAGAUCAGGCAAGGCUACCCGCUGAGUUUAAGCAUAUCAAUAAGCGGAGGA
rnacentral:rRNA from 1 species